UGGGCCCACAGCCCUCCCUCCUGGCUCUGUGUGGCCCUCUCGGGCAGCCGGGGUGCCAUGCGGCUGGACCCUCCGCUGCAGUGGCGGGCAACCUCCAGUGGAGCUGUAUGAUCUUCCUCUGGCCAGGAUCCUGAAUACAUUUGCCUUCUCUUCCAAUGUUGGUCCUAGUCCAUGUGACUCUCAGGCCCCAAGGCGUUUUUUCCUUUUGGGAGAAGAAACAACUUCUGGAUCAGGAUGUCUCUGGGCUCUGGCAUUACUCACAAUAGCCAAGACUUGGAAGCAACCUAGGUGCCCAUCAAGGGAUGAAUGGAUAAAGAAGAUGUGGUAUAUAUACACAAUGGAAUACUACUCAGCCAUAAAAAAUGAUGAGAUCUGGCCAUUUGUGACACCAUGAAUGGACCUUGAGGGUAUUAUGCUAAGUGAAAUAAGUCAGAGGGAGAAAGUCAAAUACCAUAUGAUCUCACUCAUAAACAGGAGAUAAAAACAACAGAAACAAACACAUAGAGAUAGAUUGGAUUGGUGGUUACCAGAGCAUAAGGGGAGAGGGAGGAGGGCAAAAGGGGUGAUUAGGCACAUGAGUAUGGUGAUGGAUUGUAAUUAGUCUUUGGGUGGAAAACAUGAUGUAAUCUACACAGAAAUCAAAAUAUAAUGAUGUACACCUGAAAUUUAUAUAAUGUUAUAAACCAAUGUUACUGCAAUAAAAAAGUAAAUAAAUAAAAUAAAAUGCAAAAUAAAUAAAUAAAUAAAAUUGUAUAACAUUCCUAAAAUUCUGAUCUGUCCUGGUUGUCAGCCAUAAUUCUAGUUAUUAUCUUGAAGUGUUGUAUGUCACAGAAAUAGCCAAGUUUCUUUGUCAAUUGCCCUUUUUAAGUCUUUCGUCAU